GUACACCAGGCGCGAAAACUCUGCAAUACGCGAAAGCGUGACAGGGCUACCCCGAGUGUCGUCCGCUGAGGACGACUUUUCCACGCUGUAAGGAGGCGUGGGAAUAAGGAGAGGGCAAGUCUGGUGUCAGCCGCCGCGGUAAUACCAGCUCUCCGAGUGGUAGGGACGUUUAUUGGGCUUAAAGCGUCCGUAGCCGGCUCAACAAGUCUCCCGUUAAAUCCAACGAUUCAAUCGUUGGACUGCGGGAGAUACUGCUGGGCUAGGGGGCGGGAGAAGCCGACGGUAUUUCCGGGGUAGGGGUAAAAUCCUAUAAUCCCGGGAAGACCACCAGUGGCGUAGGCGGUCGGCUAGCACGCGCUCGACAGUGAGGGACGAAAGCUGGGGUAGCGAACCGGAUUAGAUACCCCCGGAGUCC
rnacentral:rRNA from 1 species